rnacentral:tRNA from 1 species
UGGCUCAGACUGUAAAAGCGUCUGCCUACAAUGCAGGAGACCUAGGUUCGAUCCCUAG